UGGGGAAUUUUCCGCAAUGGGCGAAAGCCUGACGGAGCAAUGCCGCGUGGAGGUGGAAGGCCUACGGGUCGUCAACUUCUUUUCUCGGAGUAGAAACAAUGACGGUAUCUGAGGAAUAAGCAUCGGCUAACUCUGUGCAAG
rnacentral:rRNA from 1 species